UUUUUUACUCUUUUAUCAUUUUCUUCUUUUCUUUCUUUUCUUGUCUUCUUCCUUCUUCAUUUCUCCUUCUUCGUUCUUUCUUCUUCUUGUUCGGAAGUCACGCAGAGAGUGAGAGGGAGAGUUCAGGGAGAGACAGAGAGAUGAGAAGAGAGGGAGAGAGAGACCGAGCAUAAGAGAGACGAAGAGGGAAGAGAAGCUGUGACCCGUCGACCCAGGUGGGCAAUUUCCGGUGGCCAGAACUGAAAUCUGGCGAGGCAGUGUGAUUCCGGUGGAUGCCCAGGCCGAUUUCCGGCAAGUCAGUGAGCCCGUAACCCGAAGAGACUCGGAGACCUGAGUGAUCGUGAACCGUGCGAUCUGCAACCCGCCAGACCCGAGAGCCCAGAUGCCGAUCCUUCUCCUUCCUUCAUCCUUUCUCUUCUAUAUUGUUUCUUCUCUUCUUUGUCUAAGUCGCAGAGAGAGAGGAACCGUGAGAUGAGAGAGACCGAGAGAAAGAUAGUGAAUCAGAGGAGAGACUCGGAGGGAGAGAGAGAGAGAGAGAGAGCUGAACAGAGAGAGGACUUGACCUCCGGAAGGCCCAAUUUUCUGGCCAAUCGCGGUGGGUCGGAGCAGAGGACGCCGGCAGAGCUGGAGGACGCGAACUCCGGCGAUUUUCGUGGGAAAUUUUCGGUGGCUUUUCUCAGGUUUUAAUCAUGAAAUCCCAAGGUAAAAGCUCGAUCCCGAUGCUAAUGGAAAGUCCAGAUGACAACCGUAAGACGAAGUCUUUUUCUUGUAAGGGAGUAGACCUCGCUGAGAGCGAUAGUUCGUGAUGAACCAGCCAAACCCUAAUAUUGUAUAGUAUGAUUUGUUCCUUUUGGAGUUCAUGAUUUUGUAUAGAUUAUUAAUAGAAAGGUUUAAUUAAAAUAUGAGUUUUAAAUUUAUA